rnacentral:rRNA from 1 species
UACGAAGGGGGCUAGCGUUGCUCGGAAUCACUGGGCGUAAAGGGUGCGUAGGCGGGUUUUUAAGUCAGAGAUGAAAUCCUGGAGCUCAACUCCAGAACUGCCUUUGAUACUGAAAGUCUUGAGUAUGGGAGAGGUGAGUGGAACUGCGAGUGUAGAGGUGAAAAUUCGUAGAUAUUCGCAAGAACACCAGUGGCGAAGGCGGCUCACUGGCCCAUUACUGACGCUGAGGCACGAAAGCGUGGGGAGCAAACAGG